AAUUCAGAAGUGGGACUGAGUGAUUUUCAUCAAUUACUUUGUUUAUUGACACACUUUAUUUGACACACUUUAUAUUGACACACUAUAUUUGACACUAUAUUUAUUGAGCACUGUUAUUUGCUAAAUUAGGAAGACAGAUAAAGGCUCACGAAAGAGGAGUUGGCCAGGUUUGCAAUGGCUUCUCUGGGGUCACCAGCCAGUUAGGGCAGCACGAGGACCAGAACUGGGGGCUCCCAGCACCUGCCCUUCAGGGUUUUCAGGAGGCCACGUGCUUCCAUGGAAGAGACUGCUUCCUUUUCCGAUGGGAUUGAGACUGAAGGUUGCAUUCCCUGCGUCCUGGUCACGAACAUUAAA
rnacentral:lncRNA from 1 species